CAACAAGGUCAUGAGCCUUGUUCUCUCCCUCCAUCUAUCAUAUCUGCUACUAUCUAUGUUUGCUUCCUUCUCAAGCAUUUUUUUUUUUUUAUGAGACGACCUAUGGGUAGCUUUGGGUUUAGAUUCUUGCUAGUGUAACAAUUCACGGAAAGAUUUUCUUCACCAAUAGCUCUAGCAAAGUCCCAGAACUCACGUAGCUGACUUGGGUCCCGUGCCCAGCUGCCCAGAUUUGAAACAAUCACAGUUGCUGGAAAGUGGACGUAUUCAGAGGCCACACGGAUGACAUACAUGGCUGCCUCUGCGUAAACCCCAACCCAACAUAUGAAUUGAGAGUGGAGUGGUCAAAUCCUCAAAAGGUUCAAGGAACCCUGGAAUCUCUUGUUUAGUCUCAGGAGGAGAAGUGCUUGUUUUUCUAGAAAACCAGAACAGAGAAAUUCAAAGUGUCUUUAAUAUAAUGCCACAUUUGAAUACCCCCUGUGCCUACACAUAAACCUUGUUCUUGUGGGUCCCUUAAGCCCACCUGAGGCCUUACACCAGUUGAGCUGUUUGUAAAGAUUCAUUUGGUUGGGUAUAAAGAAAUCUCCUGUGGUAUUGAAAACACAUCCCUCAGAGAAUAAAGGGCCAAGCUGUUGGGCAUAAUGAAAAGCAAGCAUUAAACCUAAGCCAUACAGGCACUUCACACACCUGGAACAACAGCCUGAUGCUUUGGAGAGACAAUAGCAGAAAACGAAUCUCAUGUGUAUUCCAGAUGGUUCUAAAGGAUCACAGACAAAAAGCCUUCAUCCCCACCCCCUUCUCAGAGCAACUCUGAUUAAAAUAUCCUGUGAUUCUCAGCUAAAUACUAAAAGUUAAGUCGUCAGAUAAGCCUCUGAGAUGUGACAGAUUACGCUUAUCCUCCCAACUUGUAUGUCAGUGGAAGUCAACUUGCAGGAAGAAAUCAUAAAAACUCAAACUUUUAUAAAUACACUGACUUCACCCUAGAUGUAAUGGCCAAUAGAACACACAGAUCUCCACACUGAGAUGAAUACAGAUGACAGUUUAAAGCAAAUGAGCUGAGAUCCACAAUGAUGGAGAGACCAGGAGGGAGAGAGGAAUCCCCAGCUAUGAGGAGAAGCAGCCAUAGAUGGUGCAGCCACAUAUCUGAAGAUACAGGAAGAACACAGCUUCACCAUUCACAACAGCUUUUAAAAGAGCAAAUAUUUUCUAUUCAUUCUAAAGAAAAUUAUGUUUGUGAGACUAGAAAAUUGUGUGGAUGCAAAUUCUCCAACCUAGUAAUUAUCUCUGAUCCAUUUCAAUAAGCAAAGGUUUGGGGGAAUUAUUCAUGUAUGAAUCAUUUUCACUGCUUUUGAUUUGCAGAAUAGAUUGGAACCGUGUGAAUAAGAGACCUUCAACUCCUAUUAACAUUUUUGCAUGCAAUAGAGACUCUCCAGAAAUUAAAAGACAAACAUUGGAAAAUCAACAAAAGAAAACAUUAUUUUAUUUCACCUUGAGCUCAGCCACCCACUGCCUAUCUUCUCUCCAUCCUUGGAAAUUUUUCUUUUGAGCUGACCCAGAUAGAAUGUAGUCAGUUGAUGAGGAGACGGGGGAGGGCAUUGCAGCUAAAGGGAGCUGCUUGGGCAAAGGUAAGACUUCAUGGAGUGGGAAAAAAUAAAGUGACUCCUUUGGCUGGA